GACGAACGCUGGCGGCGUGCUUAACACAUGCAAGUCGUACGGUAAGGCCCUUUCGGGGGUACACGAGUGGCGAACGGGUGAGUAACACGUGAGUAACCUGCCCACAACUUUGGGAUAACGCUAGGAAACUGGUGCUAAUACUGGAUAUGUGCUCCUGCUGCAUGGUGGGGGUUGGAAAGCUCCGGCGGUUGUGGAUGGACUCGCGGCCUAUCAGCUUGUUGGUGGGGUAGUGGCCUACCAAGGCGGCGACGGGUAGCCGGCCUGAGAGGGUGACCGGCCACAUUGGGACUGAGAUACGGCCCAGACUCCUACGGGAGGCAGCAGGGGGGAAUAUUGCACAAUGGGCGCAAGCCUGAUGCAGCAACGCCGCGUGCGGGAUGACGGCCUUCGGGUUGGAAACCGCUUUCAGCAGGGACGAAGCUUUUUGUGACGGUACCUGCAGAAGAAGCACCGGCUAACUACGUG
rnacentral:rRNA from 1 species